UAUUAGAAAGCGAAAUUCAUUGCAUUUAGUUUCGACCUAAAUUUUGGCCCAUUAGGCCUCUAAUAA
rnacentral:tRNA from 1 species